UCAGAAUUAAAUUCACAUCAUGUAAAUGAACUCAAAUCCAAUUAAUAAGUUGGUUGAGUCAUUAAUGAAGUGGUUGAAUGGGUAGUAAAAAUAUGCAAGUGGAAUAAAAUCAGCAAACAAUCAAAACAGUCAUUAAUAAAAUUAGCAAACAAUCAGAACAAUCAUUAAUAAAGUUUGUGGACAAUUUAAUAAAUGAAGUAAUUAAUAAUGCAUUAUAUUGAAAACGUGCAAAAAAAAAAUUUAUAACUAGGACUAACACAAUUCAAGAUUCAAUGGGGCAUUAGGAUUAGAACAACAAGAUACAUAAGUAAAUUAACCAUGGCUGAAAAAUCAAAUACAUAAAACAACAGAGAAUGAAGGUAUGAAAAUGAAAAUUUGAAGGGAAAGACAGAAAAGAAGACACAACAUUAAAAACGAAACAAAUCACAUAAUAAAAAAUACACAUAACAGAGGAUCAAUGAUCAAAUACACAGUACAUGAAAUACAUAAAAUACACAGAACGUGUUUAGAAAAUGAAAUACACAUAACAUGUUUAGAAAAAUUAAUCAUGGCAUGAAAAUCAAAUACACAAAACAGAGGAUCGAGACAUGAAAUUGAAAAUUUCAGGAGAAACAAAAUAAAGACACAUCAUUGCCCGAUUUAGGGUUUAGAAAACGAACCUGAAGUGGACAAUGCUCUCCCCCAACAAACUACAAUUCCUUCAACCAUUGGGCCGAAUAUUUCAAAUUGGAGGAAAACAGCCCUCCAAAUUUCCAUUAGUGUUUGCAAACCAUUGAGUUGGAUAUUUCAAAUUGGUGAUAUAUAAAAACGGACCCCCAAAUAUUGAGAUGAUAUAAGAUCUCACUAAAUUUAAAAUUCAUAUUGCCCCAAACACAACCUUAAUUUUUUGGGAUGUUAGAGUAUUUUUGUUUGAUUGUAACUGAUUUCUGAAGGAACUCAACUAGUCGAUUAAGCCAUGGCUUCAACAACGUCAACUGUAGAAUCAAGUGAUCUUGAUGUUUCUCAAUUCAGUCAUACGCCUUUCGACUGGUGGUUGGGGUAAUUCAUUUGGUUAUUUCUCUUGAAAUUAUUCUUGCGACUAAUAAGCAUUGGAAUGGGGCUUUUGUAGCUGCUGCAGUUAAGUUUCCAAGUGCAUUGUUUGGGAUAUUUUGUAUUUUUUUCUAUCUUAUUGGUUCUUGAUUCUACUGUCCUUGCUCCUACUAUUGGCGGUAUGAACUUCUUUAAAACGACUCUCUUGUUUAUUCAGAGGUGGCUUCCUUUGUUUUAUGUUUCAUUCUUGGUUAUUUUGCCUUUGUCUGUGAAGGACAUCCUUGCGACAUCUGGGAUCAAAAAAAUUUUCAUAAUAGGUACAUAAUUUUGUCAUGAUAUAUUGCAUCUUAGGUGUGAGAAUUUGAUUAAACAAAUAUUAAACGUGUCUUACAUAUCCUGUGAGAGUGGUUUGGUUAUUUCUAUUUACUUCGUUUUAGGUUGUGUUGAAAUAUGUUAAAUUAGCCCUAAGGGCAUUUUUGUCUUUUUACUAUAUUUGCUAAAUUAGGGUUUCACAUUAUUCUAUUUAUAUCUAAGGUUGGGUCUAUUGUAAAGUAGAUAUAAAAAUAAAAAGUUCUUUUCUACCGUGGUUUUUCUUCCCUGAAUUAGGGUUUUCCACGUAAACUCCUUGUGUUGUCUUCUUUCCCUAUUUCAAUAGU